CAAUGGUGAAAAUAAAUGGUUUAUUUUUAAAAUAAACAAAUUUACAAAUCAAAUGGAAAAUGGAAAAUACAAACAUUUAUGGAUAAAAUAAAAAAGAUAGUCUUAAAAUAUGAAAAACCUAUGGAAAGAAAAUAGAUAAUUAACAAGUGGAGUGAAACUUUUGUUCCCCAAUACAAUGGAGUACUUGUUUAUUAGAAUACUAGGGAAUCAUCCAAACUACAUUGCAGUACUUUAGUUUUUAAUAUUAGAGAGUGAUUUCUCCUUGCUCUCCAAUGUAUGUUUCUCCUUCUC
rnacentral:lncRNA from 1 species